rfam:Mycobacterium sp. 1164966.3 contig_26, whole genome shotgun sequence.
CGCGCUUGCGCGGGAGAGUUCCAUGACCGCCAGUCAUGGACGCCGAAGGAGCAACACCUCUCCGUCAACCUCUCAGGCACCCGGACCGCGUAAGACAA